AGUAGCCGCGGUAAUUCCAGCUCCAAUAGCGUAUAUUAAAGUUGUUGCAGUUAAAAAGCUCGUAGUUGAAUUUCGGGGUCAGUAGGUUGGUCGUGCCACCGGUACGUACUGGUCUCACUGAUUCCUCCUUCCUGAUGAGCUGUAAUGCCAUUAAUUUGGUGUUGCAGGGAAUCUGGACUGUUACUUUGAAAAAAUUAGAGUGUUUAAAGCAGGCUAACGCUUGAAUACAUUAGCAUGGAAUAAUGAAAUAGGACGUUUGAUUCUAUUUUGUUGGUUUCUAGGAUCGACGUAAUGAUUAAUAGGGAUAGUUGGGGGCAUUAGUAUUCAAUUGUCAGGGGGGAAAUUCUUGGAUUUAUUGAAGACUAACUACUGCGAAAGCAUUUGCCAAGGAUGUUUUCAUUAAUCAAGAACGAAAGUUAGGGGAUCGAAGACGAUCAGAUACCGUCGUAGUCUUAACCAUAAACUAUGCCGACUAGGAUCGGAUGAUGU
rnacentral:rRNA from 1 species